CCUACGGGUGGCAGCAGUGAGGAAUAUUGGUCCAUGGGCGCGAGCCUGAACCAGCCAAGUAGCGUGAAGGAUGACUGCCCUACGGGUUGUACACUUCUUUUGUAAAGGAAUAAAGUGAGGCACUUGUGCCUUUUUGUAUGUACUUUAUGAAUAAGGAUCGGCUAACUCCGUGCCAGCAGCCGCGGUAAUACGGAGGAUCCGAGCGUUCUCCGGAUUUAUUGGGUUUAAAGGGAGCGUAGAUGGGUUGUUAAGUCAGUUGUGAAAGUUUGCGGCUCAACCGUAAAAUUGCAAUUGAUACUGGCAGACUUGAGUACAGGUGAGGUAGGCGGAAUUCGUGGUGUAGCGGUGAAAUGCUUAGAUAUCACGAAGAACUCCGAUUGCGAAGGCAGCUUACUAAACUGCCACUGACGUUGAUGCUCGAAAGUGUGGGUAUCAAACAGGAUUAGAUACCCUAGUAGUC
rnacentral:rRNA from 1 species